CAGUAGCCGCGGUAAUACGUAGGGUGCAAGCGUUAAUCGGAAUUACUGGGCGUAAAGCGUGCGCAGGCGGUUCGCUAAGACAGAUGUGAAAUCCCCGGGCUUAGCCUGGGAACUGCAUUUGUGACUGGCGGGCUAGAGUAUGGCAGAGGGGGGUAGAAUUCCACGUGUAGCAGUGAAAUGCGUAGAGAUGUGGAGGAAUACCGAUGGCGAAGGCAGCCCCCUGGGCCAAUACUGACGCUCAUGCACGAAAGCGUGGGGAGCAAACAGGAUUAGAUACCCCUGUAGUCCCUGUCUCUUAUAC
rnacentral:rRNA from 1 species